GACGAACGCUGGCGGCGUGCUUAACACAUGCAAGUCGAACGGAAAGGCCUGCUUUCCCUUGUGGAUUGCGGGUACUCGAGUGGCGAACGGGUGAGUAACACGUGAGUGAUCUGCCCCCAACUUGGGUAUAAGCCUGGGAAACUGGGUCUAAUUCUCGAUAGGACUGCAGGGUGGUGCCUGUGGUGGAAAACGAUUUUCUAGUGGUUGGGGAUGAGCUCGCGGCCUAUCAGCUUGUUGGUGGGGUAAUGGCCUACCAAGGCGGCGACGGGUAGCCGGCCUGGGAGGGUGGACGGCCACAUUGGGACUGAGAUACGGCCCAGACUCCUACGGGAGGCAGCAGUGGGGAAUAUUGCACAAUGGGCGGAAGCCUGAUGCAGCGACGCCGCGUGGGGGAUGACGGCCUUCGGGUUGUAAACUCCUUUCGACCGCGAGGAAGCCACCUGGUUGGAAGGGUGGUGACGGUAGUGGUAGAAGAAGCACCGGCUAACUACGUG
rnacentral:rRNA from 1 species